UUAGGAAUUUUGCGCAAUGGAGGAAACUCUGACGCAGCCACGCCGCGUGAGGGAUGAAGGCCUUCGGGUCGUAAACCUCUUUUCUCAGGGAAGACACCCGACGGUACCUGAGGAAUAAGCAACGGCUAACUACGUGCCAGCAGCCGCGGUAAUACGUAGGUUGCGAGCGUUGUCCGGAUUUACUGGGCGUAAAGCGCGCGCAGGUGGUCCUGAAAGUCGAGCGUGAAAGCUCCCGGCCCAACUGGGAGAGGCCGUUCGAAACUUCAGGACUUGAAGGCGGGAGAGGCAAAUGGAAUUUCCGGUGUAGCGGUAAAAUGCGUAGAUACCGGAAGGAACACCAGUGGCGAAAGCGAUUUGCUGGCCCGCCCUUGACACUCAGGCGCGAAAGCUAGGGGAGCGACCGG
rnacentral:rRNA from 1 species